rnacentral:rRNA from 1 species
AUUGAACGCUGGCGGCAGGCCUAACACAUGCAAGUCGAGCGGAUGGAGGGAGCUUGCUCCUGGAUUCAGCGGCGGACGGGUGAGUAAUGCCUAGGAAUCUGCCUGGUAGUGGGGGAUAACGUCCGGAAACGGGCGCUAAUACCGCAUACGUCCUGAGGGAGAAAGUGGGGGAUCUUCGGACCUCACGCUAUCAGAUGAGCCUAGGUCGGAUUAGCUAGUUGGUGGGGUAAAGGCCUACCAAGGCGACGAUCCGUAACUGGUCUGAGAGGAUGAUCAGCCACACUGGAACUGAGACACGGUCCAGACUCCUACGGGAGGCAGCAGUGGGGAAUAUUGGACAAAGGGCGAAAGCCUGAUCCAGCCAUGCCGCGUGUGUGAAGAAGGUCUUCGGAUUGUAAAGCACUUUAAGUUGGGAGGAAGGGCAGUAAGUUAAUACCUUGCUGUUUUGACGUUACCAACAGAAUAAGCACCGGCUAACUUCGUG